CCGGGAGUCACGCGUGGACUCUUUCGCGCGAGGGUAGGUGUGCAGACCGGCCAGGCGAGCCUCGCGUCCGGCAUCGCAAGCGCCGGCAGUUUCCUUCUUGGUUCUUGGGAUGGUGUUUUGCUUCUGCGCCCGCGCUGGUAGGAGCUAUGCGCCCUACCCGCCUACCUCGUGCACUUGUCCACGGUAGAUUUAAACCACACACGAAUUCGAAAAACAAAGUGAAACUACAUCCACGCCCAGUGGGAGAUGAGUUACCAAGCAUGUCCUGAAGAUGAAGAUACUCUCAGCCUAACGUCUCCAAGCAAAUAUUGAUUCAGCAGUAUCCCCAGGCAAAGCCACACCAUAUAUCAGUGAACAGAGAAACAACUGCCCUUCUCCGGGCCCCUGUCUGAGAAGCUGGAGCAUCAGCCCUGGAGCUCUCCGGAGCAGUUUCCUUGCUCACUGUCCCCAGCUGAACACAGCCGCAUGCAGAGGUCCAAAGCACGUAAACAGGAUACCCACCCUGCAUUAUCUUAUAUUUUAAGUCAAUAUGAAGAUGGACAUUCUACCCCUGAGACCAAUUUCGA
rnacentral:lncRNA from 1 species